CAAACUAAAAGUUCACUAGAUCUUUAGUUGGAGAGAUAAGUUUGUUUUGAUGAAAUUGCCCUUCUUUUUGUGGAAGAUAGCUAAGUAUAAAAGAGAAUGGUGUAUGAAAGCAACUUUGGGACAAAAUGGUAAUUGGGUGGCAUAUUUUCUUAUCCAAUGUCAUGGAACAAAAGUAUUUAUCCUAGAGGUCUAAUAGUUUGUAUCCUAUCCAACACCAAUUUUUUACUAU
rnacentral:lncRNA from 1 species